AGCCAUGACCAGGUUGAAGUUGGGGUAAAACCCGAUGGAGGACCGAACCGACCCCCGUUGAAACGUUGGCGGAUGAGUUGUGGCUAGGGGAGAAAUUCCAAUCGAACCCGGAGAUAGCUGGUUCUCCCCGAAAUAGCUUUAGGGCUAGCGUCGAGGUAAGUUGCGUGAAGGUAGAGCACUGAAUAUGUGAUGGCCCCAUCUCGGGGUACUGAGCAUAAUCAAACUGCGAAUGUCACGCCAACAUGCUCGGCAGUCAGACAGCGGGUGAUAAGGUCCGUUGUCAAGAGGGAAACAGCCCAGACCAUCAGCUAAGGUCCCAAAAUGUAUGCUAAGUGGAAAAGGAUGUGGAGAUGUACAGACAACUAGGAGGUUGGCUCAGAAGCAGCCAUCCUUUAAAGAGUGCGUAACAGCUCACUAGUCGAAUGACUCUGCGCCGAUAAUUUACCGGGGCUAAGCAUACUACCGAAGCUAUGGAUCCCAAGGGAUGGUAGGGGAGCGUUCCAUGAACGGAGAAGUACGACCGAAAGGACGUGUGGAGAUCAUGGAAGAGAGAAUGCCGGUGUGAGUAGCGGAACGUGGGUGAGAAUCCCACGCACCGAAAACCCAAGGUUUCCAGAGGAAGGUUCGUCCGCUCUGGGUAAGUCGGGACCUAAGGCGAGGCCGAAAGGCGUAGUCGAUGGACAACAGGUAGAGAUUCCUGUACCCGUAUAUAUGUGAAGGAAUGACGGAGAGAGGAAGCUGCAGCCAGCGGCUGGAAGAGCUGGUGCAAGCGAGAUAUCGGGAUGGCAGGCAAAUCCACCAUCCGAAACGAGAAGGCGUGAAGCGUACGGAAAGCUACGGCGAGUACGGAAGGCAGUGGAGGAACUUCCAAGAAAAGUUUCUAACGUAAAGUAUAUAUGGCCCGUACCGAAAAUGGACACACAUGGGUGAGGAGAGAAUCCUAAGGUGAGCGAGAGAACUAUAGCUAAGGAACUCUGCAAAAUGACUCCGUAACUUAGGGAGAAGGAGUGCUCAUAGAGAUAUGAGCCGCAGUGAAACGGCCCAAGCGACUGUUUACCAAAAACACAGCUCUCUGCUAAGCCGCAAGGCGAAGUAUAGGGGGUGACGCCUGCCCGGUGCUGGAAGGUUAAGGGGAGGGGUUAACGCAAGUGAAGCCCUGAACUGAAGCCCCAGUAAACGGCGGCCGUAACUAUAACGGUCCUAAGGUAGCGAAAUUCCUUGUCAGGUAAGUUCUGACCCGCACGAAAGGCGUAACGAUUUGGGCGCUGUCUCAGCUGUAGACUCGGUGAAGUCUUAGUACCUGUGAAGAUGCAGGUUACCCGCGACUAGACGGAAAGACCCCAUGGAGCUUCACUGCAGGUUGAUAUUGGGAUUUGAUGCAGCAUGUACAGGAUAGGUAGGAGGCAAAGAGAUGGAUACGCCAGUAUUCAAGGAGCCGCUGUUGGGAUACUACCCCUGUUGUAUUGGAUUUCUAACCGGACGACGUAGAACCGUUGACGGGACAGUGUCAGUCGGGCAGUUUGACUGGGGCGGUCGCCUCCCAAAGAGUAACGGAGGCGCCCAAAGAUACCCUCAGCUUGGAUGGAAACCAAGCGCAGAGUGCAAAGGCAAAAGGGUGUUUGACUGCGAGACCCACAAGUCGAGCAGGGACGAAAGUCGGGCUUAGUGAUCCGGCGGUGCUGAAUGGAAAGGCCGUCGCUCAACGGAUAAAAGCUACCCUGGGGAUAACAGGCUGAUCUCCCCCAAGAGUUCACAUCGACGGGGAGGUUUGGCACCUCGAUGUCGGCUCAUCGCAUCCUGGAGCUGUAGCAGGUUCCAAGGGUUGGGCUGUUCGCCCAUUAAAGCGGUACGCGAGCUGGGUUCAGAACGUCGUGAGACAGUUCGGUCCCUAUCUGUCGUGGGCGCAGGAAAUUUGAGAAGAGCUGUCCUCAGUACGAGAGGACCGGGAUGGACGCAUCAAUGGUGGACCAGUUGUCACGCCAGUGGCAUAGCUGGGUAGCUAAAUGCGGAAGGGAUAAACGCUGAAGGCAUCUAAGUGUGAAACCCACUUCAAGAUGAGAUUUCCCAUUGC
rnacentral:rRNA from 1 species